rnacentral:rRNA from 1 species
GCCGGCAGCUAGCUCUCAGCAACUCACUUGGUCGCACACUGAAGCCAAGCAGGACUGUGCCUAGUCAGUACCUGGAUGGGAGACCACAUUGGAAAGCUAGUUUGCUGCCUGAA